UACAGAGGUCCCAAGCGUUGUUCGGAUUCAUUGGGCGUAAAGGGUGCGUAGGUGGCGUCGUAAGUCGGGUGUGAAAUCUCGGGGCUUAACCCCGAAACUGCAUUCGAUACUGCGGUGCUUGAGGACUGGAGAGGAGACUGGAAUUUACGGUGUAGCAGUGAAAUGCGUAGAGAUCGUAAGGAAGACCAGUAGCGAAGGCGGGUCUCUGGACAGUUCCUGACACUGAGGCACGAAGGCCAGGGGAGCAAACGGG
rnacentral:rRNA from 1 species